CCUGUCAACUAUUGAUUAUGUAUUAGUUUGACCUAUAUCUAUAGCACGACUUCUUCGGACAGUGUGCAAGUUAGGUGGAACGAUCCCCCUUGCACCAGGGUGUACGCGCGUCACCAAUAGACACAUACCUGCUCUAUAUCCUUACUGGCUCUUGGGUCUGAUUUCCGCACGUCAAGAGCUGCUUGUGUCCUGGGAGGAGAGCGAGCCGUUCCCUGUGUCUGUCAGAGGAGUGAAGGUGCCAAAAUGCCGGCCCAUCUGGGCAGGUGGGUGCAGCAGGGCCCAGAACGCAGGGAGGGGAAGCCAGAAGCACUGCGUGCUGCCGGGCUUCCUCCAGCUGGGUGGCACAACGUCCCCUUCCGUGGGCACAGCCCUGCUCCUGCUCUGGGCAGAGCCAAAUGGGGCUAAAAGGAUCCCAGCAGAGCGUGUCCCAGCGCUGGGCUGUGAUAACCACCAUCUGAUCUCUCCCUUAGGCAACGCGCUGCCAAAGAGAGGGGAAGGAGAACUCCCGUCCUGCUUCUAGUAGUCCUUUCUGGUGAGUGUUCCCCACCCAGGGCCGUCCCAGCAGAGCCGGGGAGCAGGACUGUCCCACACAGCGUGUCCCUGCUGGGUCUGGAGGAGGAAAACGGGGCUGCAGGGCUCAGAGCAGUCUGAGCAAACUAACUGUCUCUCCCGACUGAUGGCCCCCUACAGCUGGAGCCUUUCUCUGGAUAUUGGCAGCUUGGAAAAAUGACGUCCUGCAGGUCAGUGCUGUGGUGUGCGGCAGAGGCCAAAGCUCUGCCCUUCUGCCUCCGCGGGGACGGGGGAGUUUGGCCAUGGGCUCAUCACUGCUGAGACAGAGGGUGGGCCCUUGAGCCGGGCUGGGGGUCGCCUUGGCAGCAGGAUGGGCUUCGGUGUGGAAGCAUCUUCCCAGUGCCCACCACCGAGCUCGGGCUGAAGGCGGCGGCGCGUGGGAAGAAGGGGCCUUCAACCCAUCCUUGGCACUGCGGAGCCUGGAGGGGAUGGGAAAGCAAACAAAGAAGCAGCAGAUGCUCUGCAGGAUGCGGAGGGCUUAAGAGCCCAACUUUGGGCAGCGGUUCUCUGCAAGCUGCUGGGAAGCAGCAGGACAUUCUGCCAGCAGUUCCCUGGGAAGCUCCUUUGGAUGCCGU
ensembl:lncRNA